CCUACGGGAGGCAGCAGUGAGGAAUAUUGGUCAAUGGACGAGAGUCUGAACCAGCCAAGUAGCGUGAAGGAUGACUGCCCUACGGGUUGUAAACUUCUUUUAUAUGGGAAUAAAAUGUUCCACGUGUGGGUUUUUGUAUGUACCAUAUGAAUAAGGAUCGGCUAACUCCGUGCCAGCAGCCGCGGUAAUACGGAGGAUCCGAGCGUUAUCCGGAUUUAUUGGGUUUAAAGGGAGCGUAGGUGGAUUGUUAAGUCAGUUGUGAAAGUUUGCGGCUCAACCGUAAAAUUGCAGUUGAUACUGGCAGUCUUGAGUACAGUAGAGGUAGGCGGAAUUCGUGGUGUAGCGGUGAAAUGCUUAGAUAUCACGAAGAACUCCGAUUGCGAAGGCAGCUCACUGAACUGCAACUGACACUGAGGCUCGAAAGUGUGGGUAUCAAACAGGAUUAGAUACCCCUGUAGUC
rnacentral:rRNA from 1 species